rnacentral:rRNA from 1 species
AUAACUGCCCUUGGGACCGGCAUAACCCCGGGAAACUGGGGAUAAUUCCGGAUAACGCACAUAUGCUGGAAUGCUUUAUGCGUAAAAUGGAUUCGUCUGCCCAAGGAUGGGUCUGCGGCCUAUCAGGUAGUAGUGGGUGUAAUGUACCUACUAGCCAACAACGGGUACGGGUUGUGAGAGCAAGAGCCCGGAGAUGGAUUCUGAGACAUGAAUCCAGGCCCUACGGGGCGCAGCAGGCGCGAAAACUUUACAAUGCGGGAAACCGUGAUAAGGGGACACCGAGUGCCAGCAUCAUAUGCUGGCUGUCCAGGUGUGCAAAAUACACCUGUCAGCAAGGGCCGGGCAAGACCGGUGCCAGCCGCCGCGGUAACACCGGCGGCCCGAGUGGUGAUCGUGAUUAUUGGGUCUAAAGGGUCCGUAGCCGGUUUGGUCAGUCCUCCGGGAAAUCUGACGGCUCAACCGUUAGGCUUUCGGGGGAUACUGCCAGGCUUGGAACCGGGAGAGGUAAGAGGUACUACAGGGGUAGGAGUGAAAUCUUGUAAUCCCUGUGAGACCACCUGUGGCGAACGCGUCUUACCAGAACGGGUUCGACGGUGAGGGACGAAAGCUGGGGGCACGAACCGGAUUAGAUACCCGGGUAGUCCCAGCCGUAAACGAUGCUCGCUAGGUGUCAGGCAUGGCGCGACCGUGUCUGGUGCCGCAGGGAAGCCGUGAAGCGAGCCACCUGGGAAGUACGGCCGCAAGGU